GAUGAACGCUAGCGGCAGGCUUAACACAUGCAAGUCGAGGGGCAGCGGGGAGGAAGCUUGCUUUCUCCGCCGGCGACCGGCGCACGGGUGAGUAACACGUAUGGAACCUGCCCGUAGCAGGGGGAUAAGCGGAAGAAAUUCCGUCUAAUACCGCGUAAUAACUCCGAGAGGCAUCUCCUGGGGUUUAAAGGGUAACACCGGCUACGGAUGGCCAUGCGGCGCAUUAGCUAGUUGGCGGGGUAACGGCCCACCAAGGCGACGAUGCGUAGGGGUUCUGAGAGGAAGGUCCCCCACACUGGUACUGAGACACGGACCAG
rnacentral:rRNA from 1 species